rnacentral:lncRNA from 1 species
GGUCCAGACCUAUUCCCUCAGUAGGUAAAUCAGGCUUAGCGCUCAUACUACCAAGGCAAAGAGCUUAUAAAGGCCAAUAUGAGGAUCGAACCAGACCCUUCUCUUGUUUGCAGUGGCAAGAGUUAUAUGUGUGUUAAUAAAUGGAGUUACGUUAGAUGCACAAAUCAAAUCUAAUAUCAAUCAGCCCAUGCUUGAUUUGUUUAUUAAAUAAAUUAAAAAUUAAAAAAUAAAUUUAAUCUUUUGAUAA